rnacentral:rRNA from 1 species
GAUGAACGCUAGCGGGAGGCUUAACACAUGCAAGUCGAGGGGCAGCAUAGGGUAGCAAUACUCUGAUGGCGACCGGCAAACGGGUGAGUAACGCGUAUGCAACCUACCCUGUACAGGGGGAUAACCCGGAGAAAUUCGGACUAAUAUCCCGUAAUAAUAUCCGGAGGCAUCUUUGGAUAUUUAAAGUUCCGACGGUACGGGAUGGGCAUGCGUAACAUUAACUGGUUGGUAAGGUAACGGCUUACCAAGGCUAUGAUGUUUAGGGGUCCUGAGAGGGUGGUCCCCCACACUGGUACUGAGACACGGACCAGACUCCUACGGGAGGCAGCAGUGAGGAAUAUUGGUCAAUGGGCGCAAGCCUGAACCAGCCAUCCCGCGUGCAGGAAGACGGCCCUAUGGGUUGUAAACUGCUUUUCCAGGGAGAGAAACUUACGCACGUGUUGCGUGACUGACGGUACCCUGGGAAUAAGCAUCGGCUAACUCCGUGCCAGCAGCCGCGGUAAUCACAAGAGUA